rnacentral:SRP_RNA from 1 species
CGCUGGGCCUCACGGGCUUCGGCCUCUGAACCGUGUCAGAGCCGAGAGGCAGCAGCACUAAAGAGUCUCCGAAGUGUCGUGAGUCACCUAGUUCUG